GACCGCGUAGCUCAGUUGGAAGAGCAUUGGGCUGGUAUUCCAAAGGUCGUAGGUUCGAUUCCCACCAUGGCCA
rnacentral:tRNA from 1 species